rnacentral:rRNA from 1 species
GAGUUUGAUCAUGGCUCAGAUUGAACGCUGGCGGCAGGCCUAACACAUGCAAGUCGAGCGGUAGAGAGAAGCUUGCUUCUCUUGAGAGCGGCGGACGGGUAAGUAAUGCCUAGGAAUCUGCCUGGUAGUGGGGGAUAACGCUCGGAAACGGACGCUAAUACCGCAUACGUCCUACGGGAGAAAGCAGGGGACCUUCGGGCCUUGCGCUAUCAGAUGAGCCUAGGUCGGAUUAGCUAGUUGGUGAGGUAAUGGCUCACCAAGGCGACGAUCCGUAACUGGUCUGAGAGGAUGAUCAGUCACACUGGAACUGAGACACGGUCCAGACUCCUACGGGAGGCAGCAGUGGGGAAUAUUGGACAAUGGGCGAAAGCCUGAUCCAGCCAUGCCGCGUGUGUGAAGAAGGUCUUCGGAUUGUAAAGCACUUUAAGUUGGGAGAAGGGCAGUAAAUUAAUACUUUGCUGUUUUGACGUUACCGACAGAAUAAGCACCGGCUAACUCUGUGCCAACAGCCCG